rnacentral:snRNA from 1 species
AGCUUUGCGCAGUGGCAGUAACAUAGCUGAUGAGGUUCAUCCGAGGCGUGUUUAUUGCUAGUUGAAAACUAUACCCUAAUACCCCGCCCUGUGGACGUGUAAACCGUUCGCUGUGGCAAUUUCUGAUGGGUUCCCCGGAAC